rnacentral:misc_RNA from 1 species
GAUGAAGAACGUAGCGAAAUGCGAUAAGUAAUGUGAAUUGCAGAAUUCAGUGAAUCAUCGAAUCUUUGAACGCACAUUGCGCCCGCCAGUAUUCUGGCGGGCAUGCCUGUUCGAGCGUCAUUUCAACCAUCAAGCUCCCGGGCUUGCGUUGGGGCCCUGCGGCUGCCGCAGGCCCCUAAAACCAGUGGCGGGCUCGCUGUCACACCGAGCGCAGUAGCAUUUCUUCGCUCUGGGCGCGGCGGCGGGCGCUUGCCGUAAAACAGACCACUUUGUAAAGGUUGACCUCGGAUCAGGUAGGAAUACCCGCUGAACUUAAGCAUAUCAAUAAGCGGAGGA